rnacentral:rRNA from 1 species
GAGUUUGAACCUGGCUCAGGAUGAACGCUGGCGGCGUGCCUAACGCAUGCAAGUCGAACGAAGCGCUAUUUCGGAAGCUUUUCGGAGUGAAAGAGAAAGUGACUGAGUGGCGGACGGGUGAGUAACGCGUGGGCAACCUACCCCACACAGGGGGACAACAGCUGGAAACGGCUGCUAAUACCGCAUAGGCGCACAGCUUCGCAUGAAGGAGUGUGGAAAGCAAUAGCGGUGUGGGAUGGGCCCGCGUCUGAUUAGCUAGUUGGUGAGGCAGAGGCUCACCAAGGCGACGAUCAGUAGCCGGCCUGAGAGGGCGGACGGCCACAUUGGGACUGAGACACGGCCCAGACUCCUACGGGAGGCAGCAGUGGGGGAUAUUGCACAAUGGGGGAAACCCUGAUGCAGCGACGCCGCGUGAGCGAAGAAGUAUUUCGGUAUGUAAAGCUCUAUCAGCAGGGAAGAAAAUGACGGUACCUGAGUAAGAAGCCCCGGC